rnacentral:lncRNA from 1 species
CUAGCAAGAGCAUAAGCAGAAUAGUUAGAGACUUAAAAAAAAAGUGGAAGCUAGAGCAAUUUUAUUUCAUUGAAUUAAAGUAUAGAUAUAUAGAAUCAUAACUUACAAGCAUGGGUUUAUGUUAUAGGAGGUUGUUUUUCCGAAUUCUAAUGAUUAUCUUCACCAUUUUGGUUGCUUAUUCUGAAGUUGGUGCAACAUAUAGGCCAUUGAAAGAUGAAGAAUGGGUAAGGAAAAAUAAUAGUCUUCUUUUGCAGUUGCUUCCAAGAGGUCCUUCCUUGCCAUCAAGUCCUGAUCCAAUUCAUCCAUAAAUUCAAAUAUAAAAGUUCAUAUGAUUUUAUUUGAUUUCGUUGGCUAACUCAUAAAGAAACCCACCCAUGAGGAGGAGUUGUUCAUCCCGAAGAAGAUCACUGUACCAAUAAACCCUGUUUUUUCUUGUCUCUCUCCAAUUAAAUUAUACUAAUUAACUUAAUUUGAUUUUUAUAAUUUUUUAUUUAAUUGAAUGACAUAUUAUAAUUGGUGGGGUGGAUGACAGUGUUAAAGAUACAAUCGGGGUCGUUCAUCCUUACCUAGCUACUUUUAGACCAAUAGACUUACAUUUUUUUUGUAAAUGUUUCAUUCAAAUUCAUUUUUCUCUUUUGCUUUUAAGUUGCAGAUCCAUGCAACUAUUCUAUGUAAUUGUUAACAUUUUUUGGGAUAAGUUCAUAUUUUAAUUACACAAUUAAUAAACC